rnacentral:lncRNA from 1 species
ACCCAGCCACUGGUGGAGAGAUGACGCAGCUUGAAUAUCAUAAUUUCCUAAAGCCUGAUGAAGCUUUCUAGGAGAGUUAUGCACAGUAUAUGUUUUCUGCAGUUAUCCUUUUUCCCUGCUGGUUUCUUGGAUUGCCAUUUUGUAAAUAUCCAGGUGUAAAUGUAACCAGCAGUCUCAAACUGGUCACCAAUCCAUAACUAUUUUUGCAAAAACAAAUGUGAUGGGAAUCCUAUUAGUAAUCAUUAGGUUUUUUUUACUUUUCAAAUUGGAGUCUUAUAUUAGGAAAUAAAAUUAUGGUUUGAUUUGAUAGUUUUUUCGUAUUUUUCUACUUAAAUUAGGCUAGUUUAAAUAUUAUAUAAAUGGACUUAUGCAUUGUAAAAGUUAAGACAUUGAUAUGAAAUAAAUUGAUAUUCUCUCUCUCUUAAUUCGCUAUUAUUUUUACUUCUUUUUCGUCGUCCUCUCCCUCUUUUUCUCAAUCUAAUUCUAUAUGAGUGUGUUCUACGUCGAUGUGUGUAAAAUGGAUUGAAAAGAAUUGUUGAAUUUUUGGAGUUUUGGAUUGUUACUUUUCGUUUGCAUUUUUCAAAAUUUAAAACUGAA